rnacentral:rRNA from 1 species
AACGAACGCUGGCGGCAUGCCUAACACAUGCAAGUCGAACGAGACCUUCGGGUCUAGUGGCGCACGGCUGCGUAACGCGUGGGAACCUGCCCUUAGGUUCGGAAUAACUCCCCGAAAGGGGUGCUAAUACCGGAUAAUGUCUUCGGACCAAAGAUUUAUCGCCUUUGGAUGGGCCCGCGUUGGAUUAGCUAGUUGGUAGGGUAAAAGCCUACCAAGGCGACGAUCCAUAGCUGGUCUGAGAGGAUGAUCAGCCACACUGGGACUGAGACACGGCCACUCCUACGGGAGGCAGCAGUGGGGAAUAUUGGACAAUGGGCGAAAGCCUGAUCCAGCAAUGCCGCGUGAGUGAUGAAGGCCUUAGGGUUGUAAAGCUCUUUUACCCGGGAUGAUAAUGACAGUACCGGGAGAAUAAGCUCCGGCUAACUCCGUG